rnacentral:misc_RNA from 1 species
GAUGAAGAACGUAGCGAAAUGCGAUAAGUAAUGUGAAUUGCAGAAUUCAGUGAAUCAUCGAAUCUUUGAACGCACAUUGCGCCCCUUGGUAUUCCGAGGGGCAUGCCUGUUCGAGCGUCAUUAUAACCCUCAAGCUCAGCUUGGUGUUGGGGCCUGCUGCACUGGCAGCCCUUAAAAUCAGUGGCGGCGCCAUCUGGCUCUAAGCGUAGUAAUUCUUCUCGCUAUGGAGUCCUGGUGGAUGCUUGCCAUCAACCCCAAAUUUUUCUAUGGUUGACCUCGGAUCAGGUAGGGAUACCCGCUGAACUUAAGAAUAUCAAUAAGCGGAGGA